rnacentral:rRNA from 1 species
CGGACGGGGGAGUAAUGUCUGGGAAACUGCCUGAUGGAGGGGGGUAACUACUGGAAACGGUAGCUAAUACCGCAUAACGUCGCAAGACCAAAGAGGGGGACCUUCGGGCCUCUUGCCAUCGGAUGUGCCCAGAUGGGAUUAGCUAGUAGGUGGGGUAACGGCUCACCUAGGCGACGAUCCCUAGCUGGUCUGAGAGGAUGACCAGCCACACUGGAACUGAGACACGGUCCAG